CAGCAGCCACGGUAAUACGUAGGUGGCAAGCGUUGUCCGGAAUUAUUGGGCGUAAAGGGCUCGCAGGCGGUUUCUUAAGCCUGAUGUGAAAGCCCCCGGCUCAACCGGGGAGGGUCAUUGGAAACUGGGAAACUUGAGUGCAGAAGAGGAGAGUGGAAUUCCACGUGUAGCGGUGAAAUGCGUAGAGACGUGGAGGAACACCAGUGGCGAAGGCGACUCUCUGGUCUGUAACUGACGCUGAGGAGCGAAAGCGUGGGGAGCGAACAGGAUUAGAUACCCCCGUAGUCCCUGUCUCUUAUAC
rnacentral:rRNA from 1 species